rnacentral:misc_RNA from 1 species
CGCAAUGGUAUGGAAGAGGAGAGCACAUGUAAAGUUCGUUUACGUCGGUUCUUUAUCUUGGAAAACAAAAGGAUCAGUGAGUUCAAAAAACGUUUGGGAAAACUGGAUGAGCUUGGUGUGGUCCAUGAAGCGGAUCUUGCACUAGUUACGGAAGGAUGACAUUCUAAAGGCCAUAGAUGUGCACAAGUGUAGUACACAUUUUAUAAAAGCAACAUGUGAACAAAAAACACUCCAGAAACUUUAUUCCCAUUUCAAGACUAGGAGAUUUAUCCAGUCCAGAGCGAAACUCAAGUCAAGAAGAGUACCUUGAUCUUCUAUCACAGAAGACAUUUUUUGCCAACACUUCCAGAGCAAAGGAGUCACUUGGACACAGGAUUUCAGUCUAUGACAGUGGAAACAAUCCUGGUGAUGUCUACUAGAACAAGGUAGCUAAUCAAGUUAAAA